CUAGUGAUUUCUGUUUCAGUGGCGGACGGGUGAGUAACGCGUGGGUAACCUGCCUUGCACUGGGGGAUAACACUUAGAAAUAGGUGCUAAUACCGCAUAAGCGCACAAUACCGCAUGGUAGAGUGUGAAAAACUCCGGUGGUGCAAGAUGGACCCGCGUCUGAUUAGCCAGUUGGCGGGGUAACGGCCCACCAAAGCGACGAUCAGUAGCCGGCCUGAGAGGGUGAACGGCCACAUUGGGACUGAGACACGGCCCAAACUCCUACGGGAGGCAGCAGUGGGGAAUAUUGCACAAUGGGGGAAACCCUGAUGCAGCAACGCCGCGUGAGUGAAGAAGUCAUUCGUGAUGUAAAGCUCUAUCAGCAGGGAAGAAAAUGACGGUACCUGACUAAGAAGCCCCGGCUAACUACGUGCCAGCAGCCGCGGUAAUACGUAGGGGGCAAGCGUUAUCCGGAUUUACUGGGUGUAAAGGGAGCGUAGACGGCGAGACAAGUCUGAAGUGAAAUGCCAGUGCUCAACACUGGAACUGCUUUGGAAACUGCCUGGCUGGAGUGCGGGAGAGGUAAGUGGAAUUCCUAGUGUAGCGGUGAAAUGCGUAGAUAUUAGGAGGAACACCAGUGGCGAAGGCGGCUUACUGGACCGUAACUGACGUUGAGGCUCGAAGGCGUGGGGAGCAAACAGGAUUAGAUACCCUGGUAGUCCACGCGGUAAACGAUGAUUACUAGGUGUCGGGGAGCUAGAGCUCUUCGGUGCCGCCGCAAACGCAAUAAGUA
rnacentral:rRNA from 1 species